UGAAGGGACACUGCAGUCACACCAUCCUCCCAUAUCUCCUCACCCACGCCCCGUGUCUGAGGUAAACAAGGCACAGAACAACAAUGUUCAUGCAGGAGUGGGAAAGAAUCCCAGGCCAGGAGAUAAUGAAGAGAGGAUAAUGGCACCUGUUCUUCAGAUGGGCAAGUGUAAUUCAGAUUAAAACAUCUUCCUGAUGUCACAUACUUCACUUCAGAGGUUCAUCUACGUCAGAGAAACCGCCACAAGGAUCAGGCUGUGUCUCUGCUGGAUUUGCUGCUCGUGCUUUCAGCUUUCAGCAGAGCGAAGAAACAACGUGGCCUUUGUGGUGCAGAUGAAACAGAUUUUCAGGAGGGAUCAGAGAGAUACUUCAUCUAGCUAAGUCAUUCACCAGGACAAAGACUUUCUCCUGUAAGGAAGCAAUACGUGAUAACAUCAUCUCCUGUUGUGAAGACAGGGACAUCACAGGAGAGGAAAAAGAAUCUGACAUGACCAGAUGCAACCUCAAAUCCUAAAUCCUUCAACAAGCUUGGCAUAGCCUCUCAUCCUGGCUCAUUCCUGGUCUGUUACAAUUGCUUCCAUGUUCUGGAUGCAGAAGUAAGGUCACACCACCUUGGAGAUUGCAUUCACUGCUUUGUUUUAUAUCAAACUUGCAGAAGAUCUCCUAUUCCGGGUGGCAGGGAUGCAACAGGCUUCCACUGAUUUUUUUUCUCCCACUACAAGGAAAGACUUCUUUUCUUCUUGAUCUUGAAAUCAAACUUCCAAGAUGUCCAGGGAAAACACUUCAAAAUCACUCUGAUAGGAGAGGCAGGCACAGGCAAGAUGCAGCAAGAAAAUGAGGAAGAAAAGGAAGAAACAGCUUCUCUCUGGGAUCUCUGGGAUCAGCUGAGCAGCAGGUGAAGACAGCCAAAGCCAGCCUUGCAGGUGGAAGGCCACUCAUGCACAUUGUGAAGUGGGACAGACAAGAGUUUGGCCUCAGGAGCUGCUUUUGCAGCAGUGGGUCCUGUGAGCUCACCUGGGAUGCUGAAUCUGCUGCCUGCCAGCACAGCCAGCAGCAGACCUGAAGGACUCACCCAAAACUGGUGAGACUGAUAACUACUGCUGCCACUCAUUCCUCUGCCACAUUUCCUCACUCCCUCUACUAUUCUGAACUGCAGCCAUCCCACAUUAUCUCCUUCCUUAUGGAACCUGAACCUCCUAUUCUGGAGCAUUAGUGGUAGCAAUUUUUCCCCAUAGCUUCUCUUCCAGCCACACCAAGUUGCAGUAAUUACUGGCAUGGUGGAUGCUCUACAUCACUCCAAAUGCCUGCUGGCAUCAGUUCCCAGCCCUGACCAUUACCAGAUGUGGCUAAACCAUGCUCCAUUGGAAGAUUCAACUGUAGGGAAAGUACCAAGAGUGCUUGGGCAACUACUUAAGAGCACAGCCCUGAAUUCUUACAGCCUCGAUUCAGCAGGAACUGAAGCUAUCAGCUGUAACAGCAUUCUGGGCAGUCCUCUUGAGGGUGGAAUUUGGGAAGACACUUAUGUUUCUCACACUGACUGAUUAUAGGGAUUCAAAGGCAGAAAUUUAGUGAAACACAGCCAUGCUCAUUUCUGAUUCAAGGUAGGACCUCUGGCUUGGCUGGUUUCAGCUGGAGAUCACAUGUAAUACAGUCAGGUGUUCUCGGUAAGAAGUCAACCCUCUUGAAAAGAUUUCCUUUGGAUUCUCAAAGGAUCAAGGCAAAUAAUGUGUCCCAGUGUCUGCAAGGCUCUCAGUAAGGUCAUGUUCAUGAGACAUUUUGGAGAAUUGUGUUUCAGAGGUUCUCAGACUGCUUAGACUGCAUUU